GUCGUCUUGGUGAUGUGUACUCUGAUCAAGAGAGCGAGGAAGAAGGUAUUUCUGGAGGACUGGAAAGCGAUGACGAUAGUGCUGAGAAUUCCGCAGGCAAAGGAGCAGGCAUGUCUGAAAAUGACUCAACAAGACAACGAAAGCACAGCUUUGAAGAACCAGUCGUGAAGAAGAAACGGAAAAAAGUUAUUGCUGAAAGUGACGAGGAUGAAAGUGACUAAUAGUGUAAAUUGAAAAUAAAUAAAAAUCAUAACAAGAGUGUUGAAAUACUUGCCACUGGAAGAAUUAAGAGAUUGUGGCUGUGUUUUCCUGAAGAUGUAUACUUGCAUGUGGCAAUUUAUCAUGAACAGUACCUUUGGAAACUUUACGAAAGUAUACAAGAGCUCUCUGGCACUAGCUUGUCAGUAUUAUAACGCUAUCAGGGGCAUAUCCUCCGUCAUCUAAUAUAGUUUCAGUACUUCCCAAACAUGGCAGUUUUAUUUUGAACUAUGCAAAAUUUAAGACGCAGAUGACUGCUCAGUUUGGUUUGAAUUUUAUCGUCGCCAUAUCCUCGUCACCAACGUGUCUGAAACAUAUAAUUAUAGUCUUUACUGUCUUACAGGGACCGUGGAGCAGGCUGGAUUUAGCCCCACCAAUAUUUUUUCCGUAAUUAGUUUUUUUUCGAAUUUUCGGUAUGUUUGCGUUAAAACUAAAAUAUUGAGACACAAAUUAUAACUAUUUCAUGAUGAUCGUAAAAAUUACAAGCAUUUCCAACCAUUUCACCC